rnacentral:rRNA from 1 species
CUCGCAGCUCACUGGGCCAGCAUCGGUUUUGGCGGCCGGAAAAAACCUAGGGAAUGUGGCUCUGCGCCUCGGUGUAGAGUGUUAUAGCCCUGGGGAAUACGGCCAGCCGGGACCGAGGACUGCGAUACUUGUUAUCUAGGAUGCUGGCAUAAUGGUUAUAUGCCGCCCGUCUUGAA